CAUCACGGGGAGGAGCAAGAUCAGAGAGGAAGCUACUGGCAAACUCCUAGCGAGUCUCUCCAACUCCCAGUCGAACUUUCAAAAAUUGUGUUUCUACUUCCGUGCUUUCCGUUUUCUUUUCGGGCUUUGGCCGAAGCUGUGGAUAUUCAUUUAGGCACUUGCCGCUUGCCGCUUGCAGCUUGCAACUUGCACUCAAGAAGGCUGACAUGCAACUUAUAGUUUUCAUUCCGCUGCUGCUCGUGGUAGCCGCCGUGGUAGCAAGUUCGCAGCCGCAGUCGUACUACUGCAAGCGAUAUGAAGCCGCUGUACAAAGCUCCCAGCAUUGGUGCGAG